AUUGAACGCUGGCGGCAGGCCUAACACAUGCAAGUCGAACGAGUGGCGGACGGGUGAGUAAUGUCUGGGAAACUGCCUGAUGGAGGGGGAUAACUACUGGAAACGGUAGCUAAUACCGCAUACCAUCAGAUGUGCCCAGAUGGGAUUAGCUAGUAGGUGGGGUAACGGCUCACCUAGGCGACGACCCCUAGCUGGUCUGAGAGGAGGACCAGCCACACUGGAACUGAGACACGGUCCAGACUCCUCCGGGAGGGAGCGGUGGGGAAUAUUGCACAAUGGGCGCAAGCGUGAUGCAGCCAGGCCGCGUGUAUAAAGAAGGCCUUCGGGUUGUAAAGUACGUUCAGCGGGGAGGCGUUACCCGCAGAAGAAGCACCGGCUAACUCCGUGCCAGCAGCCGCGGUAAUAC
rnacentral:rRNA from 1 species